rnacentral:rRNA from 1 species
CACCAGACUCCUACGGGAGGCAGCAGUGGGGAAUAUUGCACAAUGGGGGAAACCCUGAUGCAGCGACGCCGCGUGAGCGAUGAAGUAUUUCGGUAUGUAAAGCUCUAUCAGCAGGGAAGAAGAUGACGGUACCUGACUAAGAAGCCCCGGCUAACUACGUGCCAGCAGCCGCGGUAAUACGUAGGGGGCAAGCGUUAUCCGGAUUUACUGGGUGUAAAGGGAGCGUAGACGGCGAUGCAAGCCAGAUGUGAAAGCCCGGGGCUCAACCCCGGGACUGCAUUUGGAACUGUGUGGCUGGAGUGUCGGAGAGGCAGGCGGAAUUCCUAGUGUAGCGGUGAAAUGCGUAGAUAUUAGGAGGAACACCAGUGGCGAAGGCGGCCUGCUGGACGAUGACUGACGUUGAGGCUCGAAAGCGUGGGGAGCAAACAGGAUUAGAUACCCGGGUAAG